rnacentral:rRNA from 1 species
UACGUAGGGUGCGAGCGUUGUCCGGAAUUAUUGGGCGUAAAGAGCUCGUAGGCGGCCUGUCGCGUCCGCUGUGAAAUCCCGGGGCUCAACCCCGGGCCUGCAGUGGAUACGGGCUGGCUGGAGGCAGGCAGGGGGAGAACGGAAUUCCUGGUGUAGCGGUGAAAUGCGCAGAUAUCAGGAGGAACACCGGUGGCGAAGGCGGGUCUCUGGGCAGUAACUGACGCUGAGGAGCGAAAGCGUGGGGAGCGAACAGG